UACGAAGGGGGGCUAGCGUUGCUCGGAAUCACUGGGCGUAAAGCGCACGUAGGCGGAUUGUUAAGUCAGGGGUGAAAUCCCGGGGCUCAACCCCGGAACUGCCUUUGAUACUGGUAGUCUUGAGUUCGAGAGAGGUGAGUGGAAUUCCGAGUGUAGAGGUGAAAUUCGUAGAUAUUCGGAGGAACACCAGUGGCGAAGGCGGCUCACUGGCUCGAUACUGACGCUGAGGUGCGAAAGCGUGGGGAGCAAACAGG
rnacentral:rRNA from 1 species